CCUGUUUUUUGGUUCUUCCAGGGUGUCUGGGUACUAACUCUGCUACGCAGUGCAUUAGCUGUUUCCCUGCAAAGUACAAUACCACAACAUAACAUAAUAAAUAAACAAAGAUGAGCAAAUGCACAUGGCAUUGCGCAGCUACUGAGAAUGAAAAUAACAGUUGGCCAACAUUGUAUGUAGUAUAUCUAUCAUCAAAAUGGGCUAAUGGCAAAGUGAAAAGCUGGUAAAAGAGAACGGAGGGACAAGAAAUAAAAGAAACGGAAAGAGUAUCAGUACAGACAAACAUGUACAGCAACCGCGCACAGCUGGGUUUUGCGCCUGUCUUGGGUCCUCCAAAGAUAAUCGGAGCCUCUCAUUUUGUUUAACAUGUUUAAUAUAUGGUCACUACAAAAAAUCAUCUCAACCGAAUGUCAGUAAGGGCACUUACAAAACAUCCAAUUUCGCUUUAAAAUUUAGGACAUUUUGAACAAAAUGAGCGCCUCUGGUCAUUUUUGUAGGAAUCGAGAUGGGCGCAAAACCCUGCUGUGCUCGGCUGCUGUGCAUGUUUGUCUAUACCUGUAGCAGCUCUACGAAAGAAAUGUACAAACAGGGCUCCACAGGUUGCAAGGAGGAGGCUGGAGCCGAGCAUUUCAAGAUCAUAUUUUCAUGUCCUAAAUAGACUGAAUACAUA